GACGAACGCUGGCGGCGUGCUUAACACAUGCAAGUCGAACGGAAAGGCCCUGCUUUUGUGGGGUGCUCGAGUGGCGAACGGGUGAGUAACACGUGAGUAACCUGCCCUUGACUUUGGGAUAACUUCAGGAAACUGGGGCUAAUACCGGAUAGGAGCUCCUGUUGCAUGGUGGGGGUUGGAAAGUUUCGGCGGUUGGGGAUGGACUCGCGGCUUAUCAGCUUGUUGGUGGGGUAGUGGCUUACCAAGGCUUUGACGGGUAGCCGGCCUGAGAGGGUGACCGGCCACAUUGGGACUGAGAUACGGCCCAGACUCCUACGGGAGGCAGCAGUGGGGAAUAUUGCACAAUGGGCGGAAGCCUGAUGCAGCAACGCCGCGUGCGGGAUGACGGCCUUCGGGUUGUAAACCGCUUUCGCCUGUGACGAAGCGUGAGUGACGGUAAUGGGUAAAGGAGCACCGGCUAACUACGU
rnacentral:rRNA from 1 species